rnacentral:lncRNA from 1 species
AUCUUAAUGACAGUUUUCAUAGUUUCUGCACUGAAAUUAUAACACAGCAGCUUCCAAUAUUUAAAACCUAACAGGUAUCUUACAGAGACCUUACAUACCAUUUUUCCUUUAGGAAAAAAAAAAAAAAAAAAAAAAAAAGAAGGACUGUUUGGUAAGCACUAAGAUUUUUUUUUCCAUGGCUAAGUCCUACACUUUCUUGUGCAGCUAUACUGAGAAGGAAAGAGGAUGGAGAGAGCCAUGGAUUUUCUCACCACAAAUGGCAUAGAAGGUCUGUCUGUAUACAGCCUUCAGAGACAUAACCAUUGAUGACAUGAGGUAGUUCGGCUUGUUCAAAGUCUGCCACAGGCUACUGUGCUUUUAUGCCAAAAUGUUGAGCAAGCAACAACCAACAGGAACAGAAAGACAGCUAAAGGCAGUGGGUUCUUGGAACUGUUAUUUGAAAGUCAACUGCUGAAAUCUGGUACUGAGAGCUGUCAUCUGCUGCCUGCCUACAAGCUGCCAGUAGGUUUUUAUUUCUAUUGCUAUGGAAACACAGGUUGGAGUAAUUCAGAGAAAAAAAAAAAAAAGUGUUU